rnacentral:rRNA from 1 species
CCUACGGGAGGCAGCAGUAAGGAAUAUUGGACAAUGGGCGAGAGCCUGAUCCAGCCAUGCCGCGUGCAGGAAGAAGGACCUAUGGUUUGUAAACUGCUUUUGAAUGGGAGAAAACCUGGGUACGUGUACCCAGCUGAUAGUACCAUUAGAAUAAGCAUCGGCUAACUUCGUGCCAGCAGCCGCGGUAAGACGAAGGAUGCAAGCGUUAUCCGGAUUCAUUGGGUUUAAAGGGAGCGUAGGCGGAUAGAUAAGUCAGUGGUGAAAUCUCUGGGCUUAACCCAGAAACUGCCAUUGAUACUGUUUAUCUAGAGUACAUUUGCUGUGGGCGGAAUAUGACAUGUAGUGGUGAAAUACUUAGAUAUGUCAUAGAACACCGAUUGCGAAGGCAGCUCACAAAAAUGUAACUGACGCUGAGGCUCGAAAGUGCGGGGAUCAAACAGGAUUAGAUACCCUGGUAGUCCGCACUGUAAACGAUGAUUACUCGCUGCUUGGAGGCAACUCUGNGUGNGUAGCGAAGAGANAAGUAAUACACCGUGGAGGUACGCCGGCGACGAGAACGACAANAGAGUUAGAGGCGNGAGAGNGCGACGGACGACGACGAGGGAGGAGG